CCAGGUAAAGAGCAAACCGGCUGAAAGGUCGGGACGCAAAGCCUCCGGUCUACCGACUUCAGGGUCCAGGAUAGCGGGGUUACCCAG
rnacentral:ncRNA from 1 species